GACGAACGCUGGCGGCGUGCUUAACACAUGCAAGUCGAACGAUGAUGCCCAGCUUGCUGGGCGGAUUAGUGGCGAACGGGUGAGUAAUACGUGAGUAACCUGCCCUUGACUCUGGGAUAAGCCUGGGAAACUGGGUCUAAUACUGGAUACUACCUCUUACCGCAUGGUGGGUGGUGGAAAGGGUUUUACUGGUUUUGGAUGGGCUCACGGCCUAUCAGCUUGUUGGUGGGGUAAUGGCUCACCAAGGCGACGACGGGUAGCCGGCCUGAGAGGGUGACCGGCCACACUGGGACUGAGACACGGCCCAGACUCCUACGGGAGGCAGCAGUGGGGAAUAUUGCACAAUGGGCGGAAGCCUGAUGCAGCGACGCCGCGUGAGGGAUGACGGCCUUCGGGUUGUAAACCUCUUUCAGUAGGGAAGAAGCGAGAGUGACGGUACCUGCAGAAGAAGCGCCGGCUAACUACGUGCCAGCAGCCGCGGUAAUACGUAGGGCGCAAGCGUUGUCCGGAAUUAUUGGGCGUAAAGAGCUCGUAGGCGGUUUGUCGCGUCUGCUGUGAAAGCCCGGGGCUCAACCCCGGGUCUGCAGUGGGUACGGGCAGACUAGAGUGCAGUAGGGGAGACUGGAAUUCCUGGUGUAGCGGUGAAAUGCGCAGAUAUCAGGAGGAACACCGAUGGCGAAGGCAGGUCUCUGGGCUGUUACUGACGCUGAGGAGCGAAAGCAUGGGGAGCGAACAGGAUUAGAUACCCUGGUAGUCCAUGCCGUAAACGUUGGGCACUAGGUGUGGGGGACAUUCCACGUUUUCCGCGCCGUAGCUAACGCAUUAAGUGCCCCGCCUGGGGAGUACGGCCGCAAGGCUAAAACUCAAAGGAAUUGACGGGGGCCCGCACAAGCGGCGGAGCAUGCGGAUUAAUUCGAUGCAACGCGAAGAACCUUACCAAGGCUUGACAUUCACCGGACCGCCCCAGAGAUGGGGUUUCCCUUCGGGGCUGGUGGACAGGUGGUGCAUGGUUGUCGUCAGCUCGUGUCGUGAGAUGUUGGGUUAAGUCCCGCAACAAGCGCAACCCUCGUUCUAUGUUGCCAGCACGUGAUGGUGGGGACUCAUAGGAGACUGCCGGGGUCAACUCGGAGGAAGGUGGGGAUGACGUCAAAUCAUCAUGCCCCUUAUGUCUUGGGCUUCACGCAUGCUACAAUGGCCGGUACAAAGGGUUGCGAUACUGUGAGGUGGAGCUAAUCCCAAAAAGCCGGUCUCAGUUCGGAUUGAGGUCUGCAACUCGACCUCAUGAAGUCGGAGUCGCUAGUAAUCGCAGAUCAGCAACGCUGCGGUGAAUACGUUCCCGGGCCUUGUACACACCGCCCGUCAAGUCACGAAAGUUGGUAACACCCGAAGCCGGUGGCCUAACCCCUUGUGGGAGGGAGCCGUCGAAGGUGGGACUGGCGAUUGGGACU
rnacentral:rRNA from 1 species